rnacentral:rRNA from 1 species
GACGAACGCUGGCGGCGUGCUUAACACAUGCAAGUCGAACGGACAGGCCCUGCUUUUGCGCGGUGCUCGAGUGGCGCACGGGUGUGUAACACGCGAGUAACCCGCCCCUGUCUUUGGGAUAACUUCUGGAAACUGGGGCUAUUACCGGAUAGGAGCUCUUGCUGCAUGGUGGGGGUUGGUAAGUUUCGGCGGUUUGGGAUAGACUCGAGGCUUCUCCGCUUGAUGGUGGAGUAGUGGAUUACCAAGGCUGUGACGGGUAGCCGGCCUGAGAGCGGGGACGGGCACAAUAGUACUAAGAUAGGGCCCAGACGGCUACGGGACGCAGCAGUGGAGAGUAUUGCGCAGUGGGGGGAAGCCAGAGGCAAAGGUGCCGCGAGCGGGAUAACGUGCUACGAGUUAAAAACCGCUGUCGCCGGAAACAAGGAGUGAGUGACGGUAAUUAGUAAAGAAGCACCGGCUAACUACGUG